AUUGAACGCUGGCGGCAGGCCUAACACAUGCAAGUCGAGCGGAUGAAGGGAGCUUGCUCCUGGAUUCAGCGGCGGACGGGUGAGUAAUGCCUAGGAAUCUGCCUGGUAGUGGGGGAUAACGUCCGGAAACGGGCGCUAAUACCGCAUACGUCCUGAGGGAGAAAGUGGGGGAUCUUCGGACCUCACGCUAUCAGAUGAGCCUAGGUCGGAUUAGCUAGCUGGUGGGGUAAAGGCCUACCAAGGCGACGAUCCGUAACUGGUCUGAGAGGAUGAUCAGUCACACUGGAACUGAGACACGGUCCAGACUCCUACGGGAGGCAGCAGUGGGGAAUAUUGGACAAUGGGCGAAAGCCUGAUCCAGCCAUGCCGCGUGUGUGAAGAAGGUCUUCGGAUUGUAAAGCACUUUAAGUUGGGAGAAAGGGCAGUAAGUUAAUACCUUGCUGUUUUGACGUUACCAACAGAAUAAGCACCGGCUAACUUCGUG
rnacentral:rRNA from 1 species